rnacentral:rRNA from 1 species
AUGAACGCUGGCGGCGUGCUUUACACAUGCAAGUCGAGCGAGGCGGCCCGCAAGGGUCAGUCGAGCGGCGACGGGUGAGUAACGCGUGGAUAACCUGCCCAGAGGUGGGGGAUAACCCGGGGAAACUCGGGCUAAUACCGCAUGAUACCGAGAGGUCAAAGGCGGCUCGCAAGGGCUGUCGCCAUUGGAGGGGUCCGCGUCCGAUUAGCUAGUUGGUAGGGUAAUGGCCUACCAAGGCGACGAUCGGUAGCCGGCCUGAGAGGGUGAUCGGCCACACUGGAACUGAGACACGGUCCAGACUCCUACGGGAGGCAGCAGUGGGGAAUUUUGCGCAAUGGGCUAACGCCUGACGCAGCAACGCCGCGUGGAGGAUGAAGGUCUUUGGAUUGUAAACUCCUGUCAGCAGGGAAAAAGCGAAUCGGCCUAACACGCCGGUGAGUUGAUUGUACCUGCAGAGGAAGCCCCGGCUAACUCUGUGCCAGCAGCGCCGCGGUAAUACAGAGGGGGCAAGCGUUAUUCGGAAUUAUUGGGCGUAAAGGGCGCGUAGGCGGCUUGGCAAGUGGAAGGUGAAAUCCCUCGGCUUAACCGAGGAACUGCCCUCCAAACUGCUUCGCUUGAGACCAGGAGAGGUGAGUGGAAUUCCCAGUGUAGCGGUGAAAUGCGUUGAUAUCGGAAGGAACCCCGUGGCGAAGCGAGGCUCACUGGACUGGCUACUGACGCUGAUGACGCGAAAGCGUGGGGAGGCGAACGGGAUUAGAUACCCCAGGUAGUCCUACGCUGUAAACGAUGAGUGCACUGGUGUAGGGGGUCUCGACCCGAUGGCUCCUGCCGAAGGUAACACAUUAAGUGCCCUCCGCCUGGGGAGUAUGGUCGCAAGGCUGAAACUCAAAGGAAUUGACGGGGGCCCGCACAAGCGGUGGAGCAUGUGGCUCUAAUUCGAAGCUAACGCGAAGAACCUUAUCCCGGGCUUGACGUGCAGCGGAUAAGCCUGCGAAAGCGUCGAGUGACGCCCUCUAGGUAGGAACGUGCUAUCAGGUGCUGCAUGGCUGUCGUCAGCUCGUGUCCGUGAGGUGUUGGGUUAAGUCCCGUAACGAGCGAAACCCCUGUGUCAUAGUUGCCUAACGGCGUCAAGUGCCGGGAGAACUCUAUGCGAGACCUGCCGGCGUGAUAACCGGAGGAAGGUGGGGAUGACGUCAAGUCAUCAUGGCCCUUAUGUCCAGGGCUACACACGUGCUACAAUGGACGGCACAAAGCGUCGCCAAGGCCGCGAGGUCCGCGCCUAAUCUCAAAAAAUCGUUCUCCCAGUUCGGAUUGCGGCUCUGCAACUCCGCCGGCAUGAAGCCUGGAAUCGCUAGUAAUCGCCGGAUCAGCACUGCGGCGGUGAAUACGUUCCUGAGCCUUGUACACACCGCCCGUCAAGCCACCAAAGCGGGGGGCAUCCGAAGUCGUCGGAGCCGCAAGGCAGGCGCCGAAGAUGAAACCCGUGAUGGGGACUAAGUCGU